UACGGAGGGAGCGAGCGUUGUCCGGAAUCACUGGGCGUAAAGAGCGUGUAGGCGGCCAGAUAAGUCCGCUGUGAAAUCUCGAGGCUCAACUUCGAGCUGUCGGUGGAAACUGUCUGGCUAGAGUCCGGAAGAGGAGAAUGGAAUUCCUGGUGUAGCGGUGAAAUGCGCAGAUAUCAGGAAGAACACCCGUGGCGAAGGCGGUUCUCUGGGACGGUACUGACGCUGAGACGCGAAAGCGUGGGGAGCGAACAGG
rnacentral:rRNA from 1 species